AGAAGAAUUGAUUAGCAACUUUUAUGAUUGCAGUUAGGUAUGCUGAGUGAUAUGAUAUGUAGAAGAAUUGAUUAGCAACUUUUAUGAUUGCAAUUAGGUAUGCUGAGUGAUAUGACCAAAGUUCAUUUCUAUUGUCGGGAAAUCAAAGCCUUCGCUCAUACAAGUUUAUUCUGGAAGCCUUCGCUGUGCUCAUGCAAUUCAUCAGUGCUUGGAAGAGGAGAGGGAAAAGAUAAUGACCAUACCUAGAAAAGAGAAGAAAAGAAAAGCUAGGAGGGAG